rnacentral:rRNA from 1 species
GACGAACGCUGGCGGCGUGCUUAACACAUGCAAGUCGAACGCUGAAGCUCAGCUUUUGUUGGGUGGAUGAGUGGCGAACGGGUGAGUAACACGUGAGUAACCUGCCCCCUUCUUUGGGAUAACGCCCGGAAACGGGUGCUAAUACUGGAUAUUCACUGGUCUUCGCAUGGGGGUUGGUGGAAAGGGUUUUUCUGGUGGGGGAUGGGCUCGCGGCCUAUCAGCUUGUUGGUGGGGUGAUGGCCUACCAAGGCUUUGACGGGUAGCCGGCCUGAGAGGGUGACCGGGAACAUGGGGACUGAGAUACGGCCCAGACUCCUACGGGAGGCAGCAGUGGGGAAUAUUGCACAAUGGGCGGAAGCCUGAUGCAGCGACGCCGCGUGAGGGAUGGAGGCCUUCGGGUUGUGAACCUCUUUCGCUCAUGGUCAAGCCGCAACAAUGGUUGUGGUGAGGGUAGUGGGUAAAGAAGCGCCGGCUAACUACGUG